rnacentral:rRNA from 1 species
GACGAACGCUGGCGGCGUGCCUAAUACAUGCAAGUAGAACGCUGAGGACUGGUGCUUGCACCGGUCCAAGGAGUUGCGAACGGGUGAGUAACGCGUAGGUAACCUACCUCAUAGCGGGGGAUAACUAUUGGAAACGAUAGCUAAUACCGCAUAAAAGUGUUUAACCCAUGUUAAACAUUUAAAAGGUGCAAUUGCAUCACUAUGAGAUGGACCUGCGUUGUAUUAGCUAGUUGGUGAGGUAACGGCUCACCAAGGCGACGAUACAUAGCCGACCUGGGAGGGUGAUCGGCCACACUGGGACUGAGACACGGCCCAGACUCCUACGGGAGGCAGCAGUAGGGAAUCUUCGGCAAUGGACGGAAGUCUGACCGAGCAACGCCGCGUGAGUGAGGAAGGUUUUCGGAUCGUAAAGCUCUGUUGUUAGAGAAGAAUGAUGGUGGGAGUGGAAAAUCCACCAUGUGACGGUAACUAACCAGAAAGGGACGGCUAACUACGUGCCAGCAGCCGCGGUAAUACGUAGGUCCCGAGCGUUGUCCGGAUUUAUUGGGCGUAAAGCGAGCGCAGGCGGUUCUUUAAGUCUGAAGUUAAAGGCAGUGGCUCAACCAUUGUACGCUUUGGAAACUGGAGAACUUGAGUGCAGAAGGGGAGAGUGGAAUUCCAUGUGUAGCGGUGAAAUGCGUAGAUAUAUGGAGGAACACCGGUGGCGAAAGCGGCUCUCUGGUCUGUAACUGACGCUGAGGCUCGAAAGCGUGGGGAGCAAACAGG